GUACACUCAUAUAACAUUGCAAGUUACAAGGUAAGUACACUGACAUUAGACUACAAAAUACACUAAUAAUACAGUGAAAGGAAACUGAAAUUCGAACGACCAGCCACCUACAACUAUCAUCUAACAGCAAUAAUAUAGUGAAGGGGUAUUACAGUGUAACUUUGGGAGGUACAGUGAAGAAGCACAAGAUAACAAUACAUGGAGCACACCAACAUAAUACAGUGAACUUCAGAAAUACAUUACAAAUAUUGAUCGGGCAUGAAACUGCAGCAAAUGAAAACUAGGGGAAAAUACAGUCUAAGUCAGAGAUACAACACAUAGAAAUUCAGAACCACACUAUGAUGAAGGUAGUGCUACUACACAUGCACAGUGCAGAACAGGGGGUAUUACAGUCUAGAACAAGGGAAACUACAGCAGGUGGAAAAUAUGGGGAUGAAAUAAUUCUUGUCUACAAGGACACAUUAAUCCCAAAAGCAUAAUUACACUGAAAAUAUGGGAUGAAAUACACAGUAAUUACACUGGAACUACAACAGUAGCAAGGGAUUACAGUGUAAAUAAUCGUAAUUCUUGUGGAUUACACUGGAAACACGACCCUGGAAUUAACAAUACUUGUAGAUUACACUGAAAUUUCGAGAAAAUUACACAGUAAUUCUAGGUCAAAUUACACAAUAAUUCUAGAGCUCAAACUACGGGAUAAAUUACACAGUAAUUCUAGGUCAAAUUACACAGUAAUUCUAGAGCUCAAAUUACGGGAAAACAUUACACAGUAACUGUAGAUUGAAUUACACUGGAAAACAGGACACAGUAAUUAUUGGGCAAAAAAUACUAGAGAUUUGACCUAGCGAAUUACACUGAAACUACAACAGUAAAUCUAGAGUGAAAUGGGGCAAAAUACUAGUGAUUUCACUGAUACACUGAAACUGGGGGAAAAACCACAGUAAAACUAGAGUGAAUUACACUGAAAAUGGGGCAAAAGAAAAUAGAAGCACUAAAACUACAGGAACAGAAAAUGGGGCAACUUACACAGAAAUAAUACUGUGAAUUACACUGAAAAUGAGGCAAAAUACACAGUAAAUAUAGAGUGAGUUACAUUGAAACUAUGGGCUGAAUUACACAGUGACUAGUGCAAAUUCAUAGUAUAUGACAUUCAAAACUAUGGGGAUUACAGUCAGCCUGGGGCAAAAAAUGCAGUAAUUCUACAGUACAUAACACAGAAACUAGGGGGAUAUACAGUAACACUAAUCCUGCAGUUCAAUCACCCAGGCCUUAAAAGCACAUACAGACACUCACAGGAGAAUCUCCACUCACAGGCCAAAGAGGACAUGCGCAUUGCAUCUAGCACAGCCCAACUGAGGAAAGUAACCACACCUAAAGCUACGAACGCACCAAAGUACGAACCCUAGAACCAACAUCUACAACCCUAGAACCAACACACCAAAGGAGGAACACCCAUCUACCAGUAAACAGACCACCUACCAACGCAAAUCACAAACCCCGAACCACAAAAACUCCCAACUCAAAACCUAUAAAUGAUCCAUACAUCUAUCUGAAUCACAAAACUAAACGCACAUGAGCCUACCACGAGCCGACGAGGAACAAAAAAAUGGCGGACAACACAAAGCAGACAAGAAACCACGGCGGACAACGCGAAGUAGAACCAACCACUAAAACUACAAAUCACCUACCACGGAUCUACAACAACACGGCCCGGAACCACAGCACACACCUAGCACGAACCCUAACAAAAUCACACCAGCAACAGACCCUAGAUUUAGAAGCUACGCACCGAGAAAUUAACAAAAAACACGCGCUCGAGAGGGAAAUUGAGAGACCAACCAACAGCAGGAGUGGGGAAUCGAAGAGGAAGGAGAGAGAAAUCAAGCUCCACUGGUGGGGGAUCCCGGAAUCGACAUGAACAGCAAGGAAUCGCUCCGCUGCCCCGAGCGCCUCUUCCUCUCUCUGCCUCGCUAUCUCACUCCCUUCUCUCUACAGUGCCGCACAAAUGGAAGAGAAAAACAAUGCCAAAAAU
rnacentral:rRNA from 1 species